rnacentral:misc_RNA from 1 species
GAUGAAGAACGCAGCGAAAUGCGAUAAGUAGUGUGAAUUGCAGAAUUCAGUGAAUCAUCGAAUCUUUGAACGCACAUUGCGCCCUCUGGUAUUCCGGGGGGCAUGCCUGCUCGAGCGUCAUUAUAACCACUCAAGCUCUCGCUUGGUAUUGGGGUUCGCGGUUCCGCGGCCCCUAAAAUCAGUGGCGGUGCCUGUCGGCUCUACGCGUAGUAAUACUCCUCGCGAUUGAGUCCGGUAGGUCUACUUGCCAGCAACCCCCAAUUUUUACAGGUUGACCUCGGAUCAGGUAGGGAUACCCGCUGAACUUAAGCAUAUCAAUAAGCGGAGGA